rnacentral:tRNA from 1 species
UUAAUUGAAGCUAAAGUUAAGCAUAUUAUUGUUAAUAAUAUAUUUGAAUAAAUAAAUUAUUCCAAUUAAA